GAUGAACGCUAGCUACAGGCUUAACACAUGCAAGUCGAGGGGAAACGACAUCGAAAGCUUGCUUUUGCUGGGCGUCGACAGGCGCACGGGAGAGUAACGCGUAUCCAACCUGCCCAUCACUUGGGGAUAACCUUGCGAAAGUAAGACUAAUACCCAAUGAUAUCUCUAGAAGACAUCUGAAAGAGAUUGAAGAUUUAUCGGUGAUGGAUGGGGAUGCGUCUGAUUAGCUUGUUGGCGGGGUAACGGCCCACCAAGGCAACGAUCAGUAGGGGAUCUGAGAGGAAGGCCCCCCACAUUGGAACUGAGGCACAGACCAAACUCCUACGGGAGGCAGCAGUGAGGAAUAUUGGUCAAUGGGCGAGAGCCUGAACCAGCCAAGUAGCGUGCAGGAAGACGGCCAUAUGGGUUGUAAGCUGCUUUUAUAAGGGAAUAAAGUGAGAGUCGUGACUCUUUUUGUAUGUACCUUAUGAAUAAGGACCGGCUAAUUCCGUG
rnacentral:rRNA from 1 species